GACGAACGCUGGCGGCGUGCCUAAUACAUGCAAGUCGAGCGAAUGGAUUGAGAGCUUGCUCUUAUGAAGUUAGCGGCGGACGGGUGAGUAACACGUGGGUAACCUGCCCAUAAGACUGGGAUAACUCCGGGAAUCCGGGGCUAAUACCGGAUAACAUUUUGAACCGCAUGGUUCGAAAUUGAAAGGCGGCUUCGGCUGUCACUUAUGGAUGGACCCGCGUCGCAUUAGCUAGUUGGUGAGGUAACGGCUCACCAAGGCAACGAUGCGUAGCCGACCUAGAGGGGUGAUCGGCCACACUGGGACUGAGACACGGCCCAGACUCCGACGGUAGGCAGCAGUAGGGAAUCUUCCGCAAUGGACGAAAGUCUGACGGAGCAACGCCGCGUGAGUGAUGAAGGUUUUCGGAUCGUAAAACUCUGUUGUCAGGGAAGAACAAGUGCCGGAGUAACUGCCGGCGCCUUGACGGUACCUGACCAGAAAGCCACGGCUAACUACGUGCCAGCCGCCGCAGUAA
rnacentral:rRNA from 1 species